rnacentral:rRNA from 1 species
AACGAACGCUGGCGGCAUGCCUAACACAUGCAAGUCGAACGAGACCUUCGGGUCUUGUGGCGCACGGCUGCGUACCGCGUGGGAACCUGCCCUUAGGUUCGGAAUAACUCCCCGAAAGGGGUGCUAAUACCGGAUAAUGUCUUCGGACCAAAGAUUUAUCGCCUUUGGAUGGGCCCGCGUUGGAUUCGCUAGUUGGUAGGGUAAAAGCCUACCAAGGCGACGAUCCAUAGCUGGUCUGAGAGGAUGAUCAGCCACACUGGGACUGAGACACGGCCCAGACUCCUACGGGAGGCAGCAGUGGGUAAUAUUGGACAAUGGGCGAAAGUCUGAUCCAGCAAUGCCGCGUGAGUGAUGAAGGCCGUAGGGUUGUAAAGCUCUUUUACCCGGGAUGAUAAUGACAGUACCGGGAGAAUAAGCUCCGGCUAACUCCGUG